AAAGAUGUGUUAUCGUUUAGGUAUUUAAAAUACAAAUUUGUAAAUGUUGUGACACACUUUUAUCUCUUGAUUUCACAACCAAUAACUAAAAUUGAUUGUGACAUCUUUGUACCAAAAAGCAAUAGUCUCGUACUAUAGAAUUCCAUAUCCAAAAGCUCUAGAAAACAAGAAAUGACUAAUAGAGUCCUAAUUGUAUUAAUUCCAUAACUUUCAUUUUAUUAGAAAAUGAUCGACAAAUCCCUUCAAUAUUAUGUGGAGACACAAAUUGUAAAGAUCACAAGUUCAACAUUUUUUUUAGUUAGCCGACAAUUCCUAAAAUUCAACAUUCUAGUUUUGUAAUUGAAUGUGAUUUCUAUAAGGCCUAAAACAUACUGUGGGGGAAAUCUCUAUGAUGGCUUUAGAAAUAAUUUCCACUAUUGAUUAUGAAAAUUGUAGCUCAGAAAAUAGUACAGAUCUUGCAAAUUGAUGAGUACUUGAAAAUGAAAGGUCUAGAUAAUAUGUUACAUUAUAAACUACUUUUUGGGUUUGAAAUCUUAAUUUUUUUCACAACAUAACGGCCAAUGUUGAGACGUUCAACUUGAAAGUUUUCCAAUAACAAAAUUGUAAUUUUAAUGAGUUUUGAGGUAACGCAUUACUUUUUUUCCUGGACCUUAUCUUAAUGGGAAAGUAUAUAACGAGAC
rnacentral:lncRNA from 1 species